rnacentral:misc_RNA from 1 species
UCCGGUUUGUCACCGGCGGUCCCCUUAGAGUUCCCAACUGAAUGCUGGCAACAUGCGACGGGGGUUGCGCUCGUUAUGGGACUUAACCCGACAUCUCACGACACGAGCUGACGACAGCCAUGCAGCACCUGAUACUAGUGUCCCGAAGGCCUACCGUAUCUCUACAGUAUUCACUAGCACUUCAAACCCGGGUAAGGUUUUUCGCGUUGCAUCGAAUUGAACCACAUGCUCCACCGCUUGUGCGGGCCCCCGUCAAUUUCUUUGAGUUUUAAUCUUGCGACCGUACUUCCCAGGCGGAAUACUUAACGCGUUAGCUUCGGCACUAGAGGGGUCAAUACCUCUAACACCAAGUAUUCAUCGUUUACGGCGUGGACUAC